rnacentral:rRNA from 1 species
UUGAACGCUGGCGGCAGGCCUAACCCAUGCAAGUCGAACGGUAACAGGAAGAAGCUUGCUUCUUUGCUGACGAGUGGCGGACGGGUGAGUAAUGUCUGGGAAACUGCCUGAUGGAGGGGGAUAACUACUGGAAACGGUAGCUAAUACCGCAUAACGUCGCAAGACCAAAGAGGGGGACCUUCGGGCCUCUUGCCAUCGGAUGUGCCCAGAUGGGAUUAGCUAGUAGGUGGGGUAACGGCUCACCUAGGCGACGAUCCCUAGCUGGUCUGAGAGGAUGACCAGCCACACUGGAACUGAGACACGGUCCAGACUCCUACGGGAGGCAGCAGUGGGGAAUAUUGCACAAUGGGCGCAAGCCUGAUGCAGCCAUGCCGCGUGUAUGAAGAAGGCCUUCGGGUUGUAAAGUACUUUCAGCGGGGAGGAAGGGAGUAAAGUUAAUACCUUUGCUCAUUGACGUUACCCGCAGAAGAAGCACCGGCUAACUCCGU